AACUUUGCACAGUGGGGGUAUCAUAGCCAGUGAGGCUUAUCUGAGGCUCUGUUGUUGAUAAUUGAAAACUUUUCCCAAUACCCUAUGGUGACGACUUGCAAUAUAGUCAGCAUUGGCAAUUUUUGAUAGUCUCUAUGGAGA